rnacentral:rRNA from 1 species
AGGGUUCGAUUCUGGCUCAGGAUGAACGCUAGCGACAGGCUUAACACAUGCAAGUCGAGGGGCAGCACGGGAGUAGCAAUACAACUGGGUGGCGACCGGCGCACGGGUGAGUAACGCGUAUGCAACCUACCUAUCAGGAGGGGAAUAACCCGGCGAAAGUCGGACUAAUACCGCAUAAAACAGGGGCACCGCAUGGUGAUAUUUGUUAAAGAGAUUCGCUGAUAGAUGGGCAUGCGUUCCAUUAGGUAGUUGGUGAGGUAACGGCUCACCAAGCCGACGAUGGAUAGGGGAACUGAGAGGUUGGUCCCCCACACUGGUACUGAGACACGGACCAGACUCCUACGGGAGGCAGCAGUGAGGAAUAUUGGUCAAUGGGCGGGAGCCUGAACCAGCCAAGUCGCGUGAAGGAAGAAGGAUCUAUGGUUCGUAAACUUCUUUUGCAGGGGAAUAAAGUGCAGGACGUGUCCUGUUUUGUAUGUACCCUGAGAAUAAGGAUCGGCUAACUCCGUGCCAGCCGCCGC